rnacentral:rRNA from 1 species
UACGUAGGGUGCAAGCGUUGUCCGGAAUUAUUGGGCGUAAAGAGCUCGUAGGCGGCUUGUCGCGUCGGCUGUGAAAACCUGGGGCUCAACCCCAGGCUUGCGGUCGAUACGGGCAGGCUCGAGUUCGGUAGGGGAGACUGGAAUUCCUGGUGUAGCGGUGAAAUGCGCAGAUAUCAGGAGGAACACCGGUGGCGAAGGCGGGUCUCUGGGCCGAUACUGACGCUGAGGAGCGAAAGCGUGGGGAGCGAACAGG